GGGUACCGGAAGGACGUGCCACCGGAGGAGAGGCAUGAGCACAGGAAGGGGAGGGAAAUGGGCGGAAGAGGCGCUGCGACGUUGGGCCAGCAGAGACGUGCCGAGCGAGGCUGGCCCUCUCUCUUUCUCCCACCCACUCUCUCUGUCGACCCCGCUCUCCCAGGGUGCAGCCCUGCCCCCCGCCUCGUCCUCACCUGCCUUUCUCCCCCAGUGGCCUUCCUCUCGUGCCCCUUUGCGGUAGGAUGGUGCGGGUGGGCCGCGGAAGUUUAUAUACAAGAAUAUACAUACCUAGAUAUAGGUGUCCGUUUGUAAAUAUAUAAAAAUAAAAUGGAUAUAUGUAUA